GACGAACCGAGCGAACGUUGUUCGGAAUCACUGGGCUUAAAGGGCGCGUAGGCGGGCUGUCAAGUCUGGGGUGAAAUCCCGCGGCUCAACCGCGGAACUGCCUCAGAUACUGACGGUCUCGAGGGAGAUAGGGGCGAGCGGAACUGUGAGUGGAGCGGUGAAAUGCGUUGAUAUUCACAGGAACUCCGGUGGCGAAGGCGGCUCGCUGGAUCUCUUCUGACGCUGAGGCGCGAAAGCCAGGGGAGCAAACGGG
rnacentral:rRNA from 1 species